CAGUCGCCACGGGAAUACGUAGGGCGCAAGCGUUAUCCGGAAUUAUUGGGCGUAAAGAGCUCGUAGGCGGUUUGUCGCGUCUGCCGUGAAAGUCCGGGGCUCAACCCCGGAUCUGCGGUGGGUACGGGCAGACUAGAGUGAUGUAGGGGAGACUGGAAUUCCUGGUGUAGCGGUGAAAUGCGCAGAUAUCAGGAGGAACACCGAUGGCGAAGGCAGGUCUCUGGGCAUUAACUGACGCUGAGGAGCGAAAGCAUGGGGAGCGAACAGGAUUAGAUACCCCUGUAGUCCCUGUCUCUUAUAC
rnacentral:rRNA from 1 species